rnacentral:rRNA from 1 species
UGGGGAAUAUUGCACAAUGGGCGAAAGCCUGAUGCAGCGACGCCGCGUGAGGGAUGACGGCCUUCGGGUUGUAAACCUCUUUCAGUAGGGACGAAGCGCAAGUGACGGUACCUGCAGAAGAAGCACCGGCUAACUACGUGCCAGCAGCCGCGGUAAUACGUAGGGUGCGAGCGUUGUCCGGAAUUACUGGGCGUAAAGAGCUCGUAGGCGGUUUGUCACGUCGUCUGUGAAAUCCUAGGGCUUAACCCUGGACGUGCAGGCGAUACGGGCUGACUUGAGUACUACAGGGGAGACUGGAAUUUCUGGUGUAGCGGUGGGAUGCACAGAUAUCAGGAAGAACACCGAUGGCGAAGGCAGGUCUCUGGGUAGUAACUGACGCUGAGGAGCGAAAGCAUGGGUAGCGAACAGG